GAUGAACGCUAGCUACAGGCUUAACACAUGCAAGUCGAGGGGUAACGAGAGGAAAGCUUGCUUUCCUUGUCGACGACCGGCGCACGGGUGAGUAACGCGUAUCCAACCUGCCCCCAACUAGGGAAUAACCUUGCGAAAGUAAGACUAAUACCCUAUAAUUUCCUCAGAUGUCAUCUGACGAGGACUAAAGAUUUAUCGGUUGUGGAUGGGGAUGCGUCUGAUUAGCUUGUUGGCGGGGUAACGGCCCACCAAGGCAACAAGCAGUAGGGGUUAUGAGAGGAAGGACCCCCACAGUGGAACUGGUACACGGUCCAAACUCCUACGGGAGGCAGCAGGGAGUAAUAUUGGUCAAUGGGCGGAAGCCUGAACCAGCCAAGUAGCGUGCAGGAUGACGGCCCGAUGGGUUGUAAACUACUUUUAUACAGGAAUAAAGUUGGCCACGUGUGGUUAUUUGUAGGUACUGUAUGAAUAAGGACCGGCUAAUUCCGUGCCAGCAGCCGCCGUAA
rnacentral:rRNA from 1 species